AUUGAACGCUGGCGGCAGGCCUAACACAUGCAAGUCGAGCGGAUAAAGGGAGCUUGCUCCUGGAUUCAGCGGCGGACGGGUGAGUAAUGCCUAGGAAUCUGCCUGGUAGUGGGGGAUAACGUCAGGUAACGGGCGCUAAUACCGCAUCCGUCCUGAGGGAGAAAGUGGGGGAUCUUCGGACCUCACGCUAUCAGAUGAGACUAGGUCGGAUUAGCUAGUUGGUGUGGUAAAGGCCUACCAAGGCGACGAUCCGUAACAGGUCUGAGAGGGUGAUCAGUCACACUGGAACUGAGACACGGUCCAGACUCCUACGGGAGGCAGCAGUGGGGAAUAUUGGACAAUGGGCGAAAGCCUGAUCCAGCCAUGCCGCGUGUGUGAAGAAGGUCUUCGGAUUGUAAAGCACUGUAAGUUGGGAGGAAGGGCAGUAAGUUAAUACCUUGCUGUCUUGACGGUACCAACAGAAUAAGCACCGGCUAACUUCGUG
rnacentral:rRNA from 1 species